rnacentral:tRNA from 1 species
GGUAUAGCUUAGUUGGCAGAACACUUGCUUAGCAAGCAGGAAGCCCUGGGUUCCAUCCCAGUACC